rnacentral:rRNA from 1 species
ACGAACGCUGGCGGCAUGCCUAACACAUGCAAGUCUAGGGGUAGCAAUACCACUGGCGCACGGGUGAGUAACACGUAGGUUAUCUGCCCCCAUCACAGACAUAACCCCGGGAAACCGGGGCUAAUAUCUGAUGAGGUCGCGAGAUCAAAGCUUCGGCGGAUGGGGAUGAGCCUGCGGCUGAUUAGCUAGUUGGUGAGGUAAUGGCUCACCAAGGCGACGAUCAGUAGCUGGUCUGAGAGGACGAACAGCCACACUGGAACUGAGACACGGUCCAGACUCCUACGGGAGGCAGCAGUGAGGAAUAUUGGUCAAUGGGAGCAAUCCUGAACCAGCAAUGCCGCGUGUGGGAUGACAGGGCUUCGCCUUGUAAACCACUGUCGGACGGAACGAAAGGAGGCCUCGGGCCUCUGGGACGGUACCGUCAAAGGAAGGGUCGGCUAACUACGUGCCAGCAGCCGCGGUAAU